rnacentral:rRNA from 1 species
UCGAGAAUCUUUCGCAAUGGGCGAAAGCCUGACGAAGCGACGCUGUGUGAGUGAUGAAGGCCUUCGGGUCGUAAAACUCUUUCGCCUGGGAACAAGGGGAUCUAGCUAACAUCUAGAGAACUUGAGCGUACCAGGUAAAGAAGCACCGGCUAACUCCGUGCCAGCAGCUGCGGUAAUACGGAGGGUGCAAGCAUUAAUCGGAUUUAUUGGGCGUAAAGGGCGCGUAGGCGGGAAGGAAAGUCAGAUGUGAAAUCCCGGGGCUCAACCUCGGAACAGCAUUUGAAACUUCCUUUCUUGAGGGUAGACGGAGAAAAUGGAAUUCCACAAGUAGCGGUGAAAUGCGUAGAUAUGUGGAAGAACACCAGUGGCGAAGGCGAUUUUCUAGUUUACACCUGACGCUGAGGCGCGAAAGCAAGGGGAUCAAACAG